rnacentral:rRNA from 1 species
GCUCAGGAUGAACGCUAGCUACAGGCUUAACACAUGCAAGUCGAGGGGUAGCAGGGUAGCAAUACCGCUGACGACCGGCGCACGGGUGAGUAACACGUAUCCAACCUUCCCAUAACUCGGGGAUAGCCUUUCGAAAGGAAGAUUAAUACCCGAUAGUACUUUUUUAGGGCAUCUUAGAAAAGUUAAAGAUUUAUUGGUUAUGGAUGGGGAUGCGUUCCAUUAGAUAGUUGGUGAGGUAACGGCUCACCAAGUCUUCGAUGGAUAGGGGUUCUGAGAGGAAGGUCCCCCACAUUGGUACUGAGACACGGACCAAACUCCUACGGGAGGCAGCAGUGAGGAAUAUUGGUCAAUGGGCGAGAGCCUGAACCAGCCAAGUAGCGUGA